ensembl:lncRNA
AUGCAGACUAAGAUUAAAUGUGAGAAGAGGGGUUUAGAAGCUGAAUCAGAACUUGAAGAUUCAGAGCACCAUGUGAGAUGCUUGGAGGUGCUUGGAGAUGACCUAGAACUUGUGCUGAAAGGCAGCUCCAGGACCAAGCUGCACAUGAGUCCAGCCACGACCUGGAGGAAUUGGUUAAAAGAUAGACACAUGUUUACAUCCUGCCUAAUGGGACCUGGAAAAAGGUUAUCAGAUGGCUGAUGGAGAAAAAAAGUUCCUUCUUUUAUAUAAAGAAAUAAGAUAUAUCUAGACAAAGAAAGCUCUCUUCCGUCCUUCCUUUUUAUUUUUGGAGGUGUUUCGUGAAGACUACAACAGCCCUCUUGCAGGCAUGAGGGAGAAGCUACACAGAGAAAUAGAUCCAAAAGCUGG